rnacentral:rRNA from 1 species
AAUCAACGCUGGCGGCGUGCCUAACACAUGCAAGUCGAACGGGAAAGAUCUCUUCGGAGGUCGAGUAGAGUGGCGAACGGGUGAGUAACGCGUGGGUGAUCUGCCCUUGGGUGGGGAUAACCCGGGGAAACCCGGGCUAAUACCGCAUGAGCCUGAGUUUGUAAGGGAACUCAGGGAAGGCCUUUGGGUGCCGAAGGAGGAGCCCGCGUCCGAUUAGCUGGUUGGUGAGGUAAGAGCUUACCAAGGCGACGAUCGGUAGCCGGUCUGAGAGGACGGACGGUCACACUGGGACUGAGACACGGCCCAGACUCCUACGGGAGGCAGCAGUGGGGAAUUUUGGGCAAUGGGCGCAAGCCUGACCCAGCAACGCCGCGUGGAGGACGAAGGUUUUCGGAUCGUAAACUCCUGUCUAGAGGGACGAAGCAAGUGACGGUACCUCUGGAGGAAGCCCCGGCUAACUCCGUG